rnacentral:rRNA from 1 species
UACCAGCACCCCGAGUGGUCGGGACGAUUACUGGGCCUAAAGCAUCCGUAGCCGGUCAUGCAAGUCUUCCGUUAAAUCCAGCCGCUCAACGGUUGGGCUGCGGAGGAUACUACGUGGCUAGGAGGCGGGAGAGGCAAGCGGUACUCAGUGGGUAGGGGUAAAAUCCUUUGAUCCAUUGAAGACCACCAGUGGCGAAGGCGGCUUGCCAGAACGCGCUCGACGGUGAGGGAUGAAAGCUGGGGGAGCAAACCGG